rnacentral:rRNA from 1 species
AUACGGAGGGUGCAAGCGUUAAUCGGAAUUACUGGGCGUAAAGCGCUCGUAGGCGGCUUGUUAAGUCGGAUGUGAAAGCCCCGGGCUCAACCUGGGAACUGCAUUCGAUACUGGCAAGCUAGAGUAUAGUAGAGGCAAGUGGAAUUCCGGGUGUAGCGGUGAAAUGCGUAGAUAUCCGGAGGAACAUCAGUGGCGAAGGCGACUUGCUGGGCCAAUACUGACGCUGAGGUGCGAAAGCGUGGGGAGCAAACAGGAUUAGAAACCCCAGUAGUCC